rnacentral:pre_miRNA from 1 species
CAACUACUCCCUCUGUCCCAAAUUUCUUGUCUUAGAUUUGUCUAGAUACGGAUAUAUCUAAUACUAAAAUGUGACUUGAUACAUCCGUAUCUAGACAAAUCUAAGACAAGAAUUUUGAGACGGAGGGAGUACUUU